CUGCAGGAAGAGAGACCAGGAAGGGUCGUGACUGCUUGCGCACGGCUGCAGGCGUUCUGCCGGGCAAGAACCUCCCGGUGCGCCCGGAGCUGCUCCAAGUUGAGAGUGGCGCAUAACAUGGGGCUGCAGUUGAGGCUUGAAGGGCCAAGGAGUGCCAACUUACCCUGAUUUCUUUGCAAGUUUCAUUAAGCUCUUCAGCAUCUGAGAAAGGAUUAGAAUGUUUAUUCACACUCUCCAAAUUCCAGUUUAUCAGUUCAUUGAUUCAUCAACGUUGAUUAAGCACUUACUAUGUGCUGAGAAUACAAAGGGUUGCAGAAAAGGAAGAAGAAUCAGCAGAGAGCAUUUGUGGCCAGCAAAGCUUAAAAUAUUUCCUAACCGAUCCUUUGCAAAAAAAGUUCACCCACUCCUGUAGUCAGCAGCUCCCCUACUGUGCGCAGUCAGUGUGCCAUCUCAGACUAGCAAAGAUUUGUGCUUGGAUCAUCUACACUUCCCUGAAUGUUGAAGAAGAUAUGCUAUCCAUGCAAUCCUUGUCGACUGCUUGAUUAAAAAGUGGAUAAACUGUCUUCAGGCCCUUGGAGUAUGGUGUCUGUGUGAAGAAGGGAAUGAGGCAGAAGUAGCAGUCAGUGGUGGCUGAAGUAGGAGAAAGUGCUUGCUAAUGAAAUCUUGAUUUUUCUGUGGCUUUUCUGUGCAAUUGGGUGGCUAAGUAGGAAAGCCAUUGGAGCUUCACUGUAUCAAUUCUGCCUUUCUUGUUUUUUGGAACUCCAAUUCACCAAGGCUCCCUGCCACCCUAUCCAUCUAUAACUUUUCAUCACUUUUUCCUCAAAGUAAGAAGUGUGUCCCAGAAAAUGUGCCUUUGUGACUCAGCAACAUUUCAAAUCCAUCUGAGCCUUCCCAGCGUUCCAAAAGAAAUACUGAUUUGAAUUCAGCUGCUUAAAAAACCAGUCUCUAAGCAGACAGCUUGAAACUUCCUUACAGCAAUAGUUUAGGCUUUGGAGGGGAAAUUGGUUUGUUUUUAAUUGUUUUAAUUUUUCAUUCAAUUCAUUUGCCGCCUGAUUAUAUAUGAUCUUUUGAGCCCAAUACUCUGCUAAAUUAACCUUGACUUUCUUUCUCUCUUUCUCUCUCUCUCCUUCUCUCUUUCUUCCUUUCUUUCUUUCUUUUUGACAGAGCCUUGCUCUGUCGCCCAGGCUGGAAUGCAGUGGCACAAUCUCAGCUCACUGUAAACUCCGCCUCCAAAGUUCAAGCAAUUCUCCUGCCUCAGCCUCCUGUGUAGCUGGGAUUACACACGCCAGCCACCAUGCCUGGCUAAUUUUUGUAUUUUUAGUAAAGAUGGAGUUUCACCCUCUUGGCCAAGCUGGUCUCGAACUCCUGACCUCAACCUUGGCCUCUCAAAGUGCUGGGAUUACAAGCAUGAGCCACCAUGCCUGGCCUUACCUUGAUUUUUUUUUUUUGAGACAGAGUCUCACUCUGUUGCUCAGGCUGGAGUGUAGUGGCUCGAUCUUGGCUCACUGCAACCUCCAUCUCCCGGGUUCAAGAGAUUCUCCUGCCUCAGCCUCCCAAGUAGCUGGGACUACAGGUGUGGGCCACCACGCCUAGCUAAUUUUUUAUAUGUUUACUAGAGACAGGGUUUCACCAUGUUGGGCAGGCUGGUCUUGAACUCCUGACCUCAGGUGAUUCACCUGCCUCGGCCUCCCAAAAUGCUGGGAUUACAGGUGUGAGCCACCACACCCGGCCCCUACCUUUGAUUUUUAAGUCAAGAGGGAACAAGUCGAAAUUUCUAUUCAGGUAAACUGUAUACCUUUGGACACUGAAUCACUUUUAGAACCCCAGUAAAAAUCAUGUAUGAAUGACCCACAAUUUCACUCCAACAGGAAGGUGUGUAUAUGUGCACAAAAACAUUAGAUUGUUCACACCGGUGCUAUUCAUAAUAGUCAAAAACUGGAAACAACUCAAACAUCCAUCAACUGUAGAAUGGAUAAAUAAAUCAUGAUAUAUUCAUACCAUGGAACAUAACAGUGACAAUAAAUGAACCACUGCUACACACAACAGAUAUGAAUUUCACAAACAGAAUGCUGAGCAACAGAAGCCAAACACAGAAGGAUACACAUUUAUAAAUCCAUUUGUAUGAAGUUCAUAAACAGACAAAAUUAGUCAGUGGAGAUUAUUCUCAUAGAAGUCUGAAGGGUAGUUGUCUUUAGGGAGGGGGAUAUAGUGACUGAGGUGGGUAUAAGGGGUUUCUGGGGUUUGGUGAUGGUACACCAGCAUAUUCACUCUGAAAACUCAUUGAGCUGUGCAAUAAUGAUUUUUCAAACUUUUAUAUGUGUAUGAUAAUGCUUCAAUAAAGCUUUGCUUAAAAAC
ensembl:lncRNA BHLHE40-AS1 BHLHE40 antisense RNA 1